rnacentral:lncRNA from 1 species
CCCUGCCAAGUAUAUAUAUACAAGGCAGAUCACAUCACACAUAUAACAUGUAAUAAAAACUAUGAAAGUUUGCCAAACCAAACUCAUUCUGCCCAAACUAUGAUGCUCUUAGUCUCUUUGCUUCUUCGAUCUCAAGAUAUUGGGGUAAGAAUUGUGGUGAUGGAGAGAAGUGUGAGCUACAUGAUGAAAGGGCACAAAUUACCAAGGUAUUGGCGCGCCUCAAUUUGAAGACAUGGUUAACAUGAAAUUACUAACCAUGUCAUUUGAUUGAGCCGCGUCAAUAUCUCGCUCAUGAUC